rnacentral:rRNA from 1 species
UACGUAGGGUGCAAGCGUUGUCCGGAAUUAUUGGGCGUAAAGGGCUCGUAGGCGGUUUGUCGCGUCGGGAGUGAAAUCCACUGGCUUAACUGGUGGCUUGCUUUCGAUACGGGCAGACUGGAGGUAUGCAGGGGAGAACGGAAUUCCUGGUGUAGCGGUGAAAUGCGCAGAUAUCAGGAGGAACACCAAUGGCGAAGGCAGCACUCUGGGACGUGACUGACGCUGAGACGCGAAAGCGUGGGGAGCAAACAGG